rnacentral:rRNA from 1 species
GCACAAGCGGUGGAGCAUGUGGUUCAAUUCGAAGCAACGCGCAGAACCUUACCAGCCCUUGACAUGGCAGGACGGUUCCCAGAGAUGGGUUCCUUCUCGCAAGAGACUUGCACACAGGUGCUGCAUGGCUGUCGUCAGCUCGUGUCGUGAGAUGUUGGGUUAAGUCCCGCAACGAGCGCAACCCUCGCCCUUAGUUGCCAUCAUUCAGUUGGGCACUCUAAGGGGACUGCCGGUGAUAAGCCGCGAGGAAGGUGGGGAUGACGUCAAGUCCUCAUGGCCCUUACGGGCUGGGCUACACACGUGCUACAAUGGCGGUGACAAUGGGACGCAAUGGGGAAACCCUGCGCAAAUCUCAAAAAGCCGUCUCAGUUCGGAUUGUGCUCUGCAACUCGAGCACAUGAAGUUGGAAUCGCUAGUAAUCGCAGAUCAGCACGCUGCGGUGAAUACGUUCCCGGGC